rnacentral:rRNA from 1 species
CCUACGGGUGGCAGCAGUAGGGAAUAUUGCGCAAUGGGGGAAACCCUGAAGCAGCAACGCCGCGUGGAGGAUGAAGGUUUUCGGAUUGUAAACUCCUUUUGUUAGAGAAGAUAAUGACGGUAUCUAACGAAUAAGCACCGGCUAACUCCGUGCCAGCAGCCGCGGUAAUACGGAGGGUGCAAGCGUUACUCGGAAUCACUGGGCGUAAAGAGCGCGUAGGCGGGAUAGCAAGUCAGAUGUGAAAUCCUAUGGCUUAACCAUAGAACUGCAUUUGAAACUGUUAUUCUAGAGUAUGGGAGAGGUAGGUGGAAUUCUUGGUGUAGGGGUAAAAUGCGUAGAGAUCAAGAGGAAUACUCAUUGCGAAGGCGACCUGCUAGAACAUAACUGACGCUGAUGCGCGAAAGCGUGGGGAGGAAACAGGAUUAGAUACCCCAGUAGUC